rnacentral:rRNA from 1 species
CCUACGGGAGGCAGCAGUGGGGAAUUUUGGACAAUGGGCGCAAGCCUGAUCCAGCAAUGCCGCGUGCAGGAUGAAGGCCUUCGGGUUGUAAACUGCUUUUGUACGGAACGAAACGGUGAGCUCUAAUACAGUUUGCUAAUGACGGUACCGUAAGAAUAAGCACCGGCUAACUACGUGCCAGCAGCCGCGGUAAUACGUAGGGUGCGAGCGUUAAUCGGAAUUACUGGGCGUAAAGCGUGCGCAGGCGGUGAUGUAAGACAGAUGUGAAAUGCCCGGGCUCAACCUGGGACCUGCAUUGUGACUGCAUCGCUAGAGUACGGUAGAGGGGGAUGGAAUUCCGCGUGUAGCAGUGAAAUGCGUAGAUAUGCGGAGGAACACCGAUGGCGAAGGCAAUCCCCUGGACCUGUACUGACGCUCAUGCACGAAGACGUGGGAGGACGAAACAAGGAGUAGUAUACCGUACGGUACGUACCGACCGACCCGUAACCG